rnacentral:lncRNA from 1 species
AUUGCCGGCCUUAAUCCUCUUUCAAAUCUUCUUGCUUUCCUAUAUUCAUCAUCAAUCAUAUGUGUGGCAAAUCUAGAGAGCUCGGUGAAUUUAGACUCAUAUUUGGCUACUGUCAAAUUUCCCUGGAUGAGAUUCAGGAACUCCAAUUCUUUCUGCUCUCUGAUACAAUCCAGAAAAUAUUUAUCAUUGAACUUUUCUGUAAAUACCUUCCAAGUGAUUGGCUCCUGUCGAGCUUUAGAAAUCCUCUU